GCAGUCGAGGGGUAUGGUUCUUCGGAACAGAGACCGGCGCACGGGUGCGUAACGCGUAUGCAAUCUACCUUUUGCAGAGGGAUAGCCCAGAGAAAUUCGGAUUAAUACCUCAUAGUAUAGUGAGCUGGCAUCAGCCCGCUAUUAAAGUCACAACGGCAAAAGAUGAGCAUGCGUCCCAUUAGCUUGUUGGUAAGGUAACGGCUUACCAAGGCUACGAUGGGUAGGGGUCCUGAGAGGGAGAUCCCCCACACUGGUACUGAGACACGGACCAGACUCCUACGGGAGGCAGCAGUGAGGAAUAUUGGACAAUGGGCGCAAGCCUGAUCCAGCCAUGCCGCGUGCAGGAUGACGGUCCUAUGGAUUGUAAACUGCUUUUGUACAGGAAGAAACACUGGUUCGUGAACCAGCUUGACGGUACUGUAAGAAUAAGGAUCGGCUAACUCCGUGCCAGCAGCCGCGGUAAUACGGAGGAUCCAAGCGUUAUCCGGAAUCAUUGGGUUUAAAGGGUCCGUAGGCGGUCUGGUAAGUCAGUGGUGAAAGCCCAUCGCUCAACGGUGGAACGGCCAUUGAUACUGCCAGACUUGAAUUAUCAGGAAGUAACUAGAAUAUGUAGUGUAGCGGUGAAAUGCUUAGAGAUUACAUGGAAUACCAAUUGCGAAGGCAGGUUACUACUGAUGGAUUGACGCUGAUGGACGAAAGCGUGGGUAGCGAACAGGAUUAGAUACCCUGGUAGUCCACGCCGUAAACGAUGGAUACUAGCUGUUGGGGGCAACUUCAGUGGCUAAGCGAAAGUGAUAAGUAUCCCACCUGGGGAGUACGUUCGCAAGAAUGAAACUCAAAGGAAUUGACGGGGGCC
rnacentral:rRNA from 1 species